GUAAUGUCUGGGAAACUGCCUGAUGGAGGGGGAUAACUACUGGAAACGGUGGCUAAUACCGCAUAACGUCGCAAGACCAAAGAGGGGGACCUUCGGGCCUCUUGCCAUCAGAUGUGCCCAGAUGGGAUUAGCUUGUUGGUGAGGUAACGGCUCACCAAGGCGACGAUCCCUAGCUGGUCUGAGAGGAUGACCAGCCACACUGGAACUGAGACACGGUCCAGACUCCUACGGGAGGCAGCAGUGGGGAAUAUUGCACAAUGGGCGCAAGCCUGAUGCAGCCAUGCCGCGUGUAUGAAGAAGGCCUUCGGGUUGUAAAGUACUUUCAGCGGGGAGGAAGGUGUUGUGGUUAAUAACCGCAGCAAUUGACGUUACCCGCAGAAGAAGCACCGGCUAACUCCGUGCCAGCAGCCGCGGUAAUACGGAGGGUGCAAGCGUUAAUCGGAAUUACUGGGCGUAAAGCGCACGCAGGCGGUCUGUCAAGUCGGAUGUGAAAUCCCCGGGCUCAACCUGGGAACUGCAUUCGAAACUGGCAGGCUUGAGUCUUGUAGA
rnacentral:rRNA from 1 species